rnacentral:rRNA from 1 species
CGGUAAGGCCCCCUUCGGGGGGUACACGAGUGGCGCACGGGUGAGUAACACGUGGGUAAUCUACCUUCAGGUCUGGGACAACUCCGGGAAACUGGAGCUAAUACCGGAUGAGACCACGAGGUCCUCGGACUUCGCGGGAAAAGAUGGCCUCUCCUUGGAAGCUAUCGCCUGUAGAUGAGCCCGCGCCCCAUUAGCUAGUUGGUGAGGUAACGGCUCACCAAGGCGACGAUGGGUAGCUGGUCUGAGAGGACGACCAGCCACACUGGAACUGAGACACGGUCCAGACUCCUACGGGAGGCAGCAGUCGGGAAUUUUGGGCAAUGGGCGAAAGCCUGACCCAGCAACGCCGCGUGAGGGAUGAAGGCCUUCGGGUCGUAAACCUCUGUCGGGAGGGAAGAACGAUCGCAAGGUGAAUAAUCUUGGGGUCUGACGGUACCUCCAAAGGAAGCGCCGGCUAACUCCGUGCCAGCAGCCGCGGUAAUACGGAGGGCGCAAGCGUUGUUCGGAAUCAUUGGGCGUAAAGCGCGUGUAGGCGGCUUGGCAAGUCGGGUGUGAAAUCCCGGGGCUCAACCCCGGAACUGCAUUCGAUACUGCCUCGCUAGAGUCCCGGAGAGGAGGGCGGAAUUCCCGGUGUAGAGGUGAAAUUCGUAGAUAUCGGGAGGAACACCAGUGGCGAA